CUACGGGAUGCUCCAGUGGGGAAUUUUGCGCAAUGGGGGAAACCCUGACGCAGCAAUACCGCGUGAGUGAAGAAGGCCUUUGGGUCGUAAAGCUCUUUUCUUGGGGAAGAUAGUGACGGUACCCAAGGAAUAAGCACCGGCUAACUCCGUGCCAGCAGCCGCGGUAAUACGGAGGGUGCAAGCGUUGUUCGGAUUUACUGGGCGUAAACGGCACGUAGGCGGCACAGCAAGUUAAGGGUGAAAUCCCGGGGCUCAACUCCGGAACUGCUCUUAAAACUGCUGAGCUAGAGAUAGUCAGAGGCGGGUGGAAUUCCAGGUGUAGAGGUGAAAUUCGUAGAUAUCUGGAGGAACACCGGUGGCGAAGGCGGCCCGCUGGGGCUAUUCUGACGCUAAGGUGCGAAAGCGUGGGGAGCAAACGGGAUUAGAUACCCUGGUAGUC
rnacentral:rRNA from 1 species